rnacentral:rRNA from 1 species
CCUUUAAACUUAAAAGACCUGGCGGUGCCUAAAAAUCGACCUAGAGGAGCCUGUUUCUUAAUCGAUAAUCCACGAUUCACCUCACCCCCUCCAGCAAAAUAUUUCAGCCUAUAUACCGCCGUCUACAGCCCAUUUCAAAAGAAAUGAAGCAAAACUUAAACUAAUACCUUAAAACGUCAGGUCAAGGCGUAGCACAUGAGGGGGGAAAAUAUUGGCUACACUACUCAACACAACGAACACCACACUGAAACACAGUGGUUAAAGAAGGAUUUAGAAGUAAAAAUAACUAGAGAGUUACUUUGAACGCCGCUAUUAGGCAUGCACACACCGCCCGUCACC